rnacentral:rRNA from 1 species
UACGAAGGGGGCUAGCGUUGCUCGGAAUCACUGGGCGUAAAGGGUGCGUAGGCGGGUCUUUAAGUCAGGGGUGAAAUCCUGGAGCUCAACUCCAGAACUGUCUUUGAUACUGAAGAUCUUGAGUUCGGGAGAGGUGAGUGGAACUGCGAGUGUAGAGGUGAAAUUCGUAGAUAUUCGCAAGAACACCAGUGGCGAAGGCGGCUCACUGGUCCACAACUGACGCUGAGGUGCGAAAGCGUGGGGAGCAAACAGG